GGAGAUAUAGUCUAGUUGGUAGGACAACAGUUUGCUAAACUGUCGAGUUAAAACUCUCACAGGUUCGAGUCCUGUUAUCUCCGCCA
rnacentral:tRNA from 1 species